AUUGAACGCUGGCGGCAUGCUUUACACAUGCAAGUCGAACGGCAGCGCGGGCUUCGGCCUGGCGGCGAGUGGCGAACGGGUGAGUAAUACACCGGAACGUGCCCAGUAGUGGGGGAUAGCUCGGCGAAAGCCGGAUUAAUACCGCAUACGACCUGAGGGUGAAAGCGGGGGAUCUUCGGACCUCGCGCUCUUGGAGCGGCCGAUGGCAGAUUAGCUAGUUGGUGGGGUAAAGGCCUACCAAGGCGGCGAUCUGUAGCUGGUCUGAGAGGAGGGCCAGCCACACGGGAGCUGGGACACGGCCCAGACUCCUACGGGAGGCAGCAGUGGGGAAUUUUGGACAGUGGGCGAAAGCCUGGUCCAGCGAUGCCGCGUGUGUGGUGAAGGCCUUCGGGUUGUAAAGCACUUUUGGCGGGAACGAAAAGGACUGUGCCAAUACCACGGUUCGAUGACGGUACCCGCAGAAUAAGCACCGGCUAACUACGUG
rnacentral:rRNA from 1 species